rnacentral:rRNA from 1 species
AGCUCCAAUAGCGUAUAUUAAAGUUGUUGCAGUUAAAACGCUCGUAGUCGGAUUUCGGGGCGAUCCCGCCGGUCUGCCGUUGGGUAUGCACUGGUGGGCGCGUCCUUCCUUCCGGAGACCGUUCCUACUCUUAGCUGAGCGGGGACGGGAGACGGAUCGUUUACUUUGAAAAAAUCAGAGUGUUUCAAGCAGGCAUUUGCUCUUGCAUGGAUUAGCAUGGGAUAAUGAAAUAGGACUUUGGUGCUAUUUUGUUGGUUUCGAACACCGAAGUAAUGAUUAACAGGGACAGUCAGGGGCACUCGUAUUCCGCCGAGAGAGGUGAAAUUCUCAGACCAGCGGAAGACGAACCACUGCGAAAGCAUUUGCCAGGGAUGUUUUCACUG